CUUGUUUUCAACACAUUUGACCUAUCAAUCCGACGAUUUCGUCGAUUACAACUCCCAGAAAUGAAUAUUUUCCGAUUAGGGUUCAUAUCUCCCCUGAUUCCCUUGACUCUUUGUGUUCGUGCAUGUGUAUUGUGUAGGUUUUGGAGCUGUCAAUCUGUGGACUGUGGCCAUCAUCAUCCAUCAAGUUUUGGUGCGAGUACUGUAGGGUUAGAACAAGGUAAGCCGAUUAGGGUUUCUGAUUUUCCAUAUAUGCAUUUCUGUUCUUUUCCCAGAAGCAAUUAACGUUUCUGAUUCUCGUUCUUGUUUAGGGUUUCUGCUGUUAAGGAGCUUUUGGGAUCAUCAAGCUUCUGUCACUGUAAUCAUCAAGAUUCUACUCAACAUUGGAUAAGGUAACCAUCUGAACACAGUGUAUUGUUGGUGUUGUUUGGAAAUUGGAAUUGAUUAGCUUAAUAGGUUAUAGUAACUGUAUUGAGUUUUGAAACUGUAUUGUUUGUGUGGUAUGGAACCAAUUGGCUGAUUGGUUACUAUAUAGAGUUGAUGUGCUGAACUGAUUAGUUACUUUGUAUUGCAUUGAGUUGUUGUAAGCUAGUUUGUUGAUGGAAAUGCAAUGAGAUUAAUUUAGAAUAGAAAUGUUGAAUAGUAAUUACUAAUUACUAAACCAUUAACCUUAAACUGUUAUGUUAAACAGAAACCAUAAACUUAAAUCACCUACUUGUCUAUUUGACCAAUCUUAUCCUCUGCUCUAAAACAAUAAGCUAAAACAGAAACCUUGGAAAACAGAAUAAUUGAUUAGUAAACUACAACUUAACAUAAAUCAAUCUCUCAUCUAAGAAAAGCUCUGUUCUUAAUCUAAUCCUAAUUCUUUUAAACUCUAAUAUGUUAUGCUUGGAUGGUUUGUUGAUGGAAAUGCAAUGAGAGGACUCGUAACAUUAGCUGUAGAGGAUUAGAGGAAGAGACUCUUCUCUU
rnacentral:lncRNA from 1 species